GACGUAGGGCGCGAACGUUGUCCGGAUUUAUUGGGCGUAAAGAGCUCGUAGGCGGCUUGUCGCGUCGAAUGUGAAAACCCGAGGCUCAACUUCGGGCUUGCAUUCGAUACGGGCAGGCUCGAGUUCGGUAGGGGAGACUGGAAUUCCUGGUGUAGCGGUGAAAUGCGCAGAUAUCAGGAGGAACACCGGUGGCGAAGGCGGGUCUCUGGGCCGAUACUGACGCUGAGGAGCGAAAGCGUGGGGAGCGAACAGG
rnacentral:rRNA from 1 species